UACGACCAUAUGACGUUGAAACACCGGUUCACAUACGGUCACCGAAGUUAAGCAAUGUCGAAUCUGGUCAGUACCUAGAUGGGUGACAGCUUAGGAAUACCAGGUGCUGUAAG